AGCUCCUUAGAGGACAGAUGCUAUUACUGGUCUCUUUAAGAGUUCUACAGACUAGGUUUCUAGUACUCUGUCCAUGAGCACAUAAACUUCCACCACUGGCAUCGAUUAGCUUUUAGCAAACAUUUUCUCAGAUGGUGUAUUAAGAAGAGCAAAUACAAAACAUUCUUCUUCAAAAAAAUCCUGAAGCAUACUCUCCCACAAAUGGACACAGAUCUAUAGAAAGAAUGGGCUUAGGUUUGGAAGACAAAGGUUCUCAAACACAUAGCAAAAGGGGCUUCUCCAUGCAGAAGAAGAAUAGAUUGAAGAAGUAGGGAAACCAGCCCUGGUUAGGAUGUUAUGGGACAUCUCCAAUCAGGCUACCCUGAUUGUAAUAGAGAAAGUAACCAUAAAAGUCAUGAUCCAUUUGAUAGGAUGAGUUAUCACGACCAAGACAGACCAGAGAAAAGACUCCAAUAUGUUGGAUGGGUUCUCUGUUUAAGAUUUUACAGAAGGACAUGAAAAAGAAGAGGAAAUGGAGUAUACAGAUGGGUUGUGAUCUGCCCUCUCCACUUCGGGGGGAUUAUGGAUUCAUUGAAAUAUUUGGUCUGGUCCCACCUCUCAAUACUAUA